CCUGGCGGCCGUAGCGCGGUGGUCCCACCUGACCCCAUGCCGAACUCAGAAGUGAAACGCCGUAGCGCCGAUGGUAGU
rnacentral:rRNA from 5 species